AACGAACGCUGGCGGCAUGCCUAACACAUGCAAGUCGAACGUGAUCCGGGGCUUCGGCUCCGGUGAAAGUGGCGGACGGGUGAGUAACGCGUGGGAACCUGCCCAGUGGUAGGGGAUAACCGCGGGAAACUGCGGCUAAUACCCUAUGCGCCCUAUGGGGCAAAGAUUUAUCGCCAUUGGAGGGGCCCCGCGUCGGAUUAGGUAGUUGGUGAGGUAACGGCUCACCAAGCCUUCGAUCCGUAGCUGGCUGAGAGGAUGAUCAGCCACACUGGACUGAGACACGGCCCAGACUCCUACGGGAGGCAGCAGUGGGGAGUAUUGGACAAUGGGGGCAACCCUGAUCCAGCAAUGCC
rnacentral:rRNA from 1 species